AUGGAGGCGGCGCUGGAGGCGGCGCGCGCCAAGGACACCAAGGAGCGGCUGGCCGGGGUGGAGCGCCUGCACGAGGCGCUCGACGCGGCGGCCCGCCGCGGCCUCUCCCCGGCCGAGGUCACCUCGCUGGUGGACACCUGCGUGGAUCUGACGCGGGACGCCAACUUCCGCGUCGCACAGGGGGGCCUGCAGGCGCUCUCCGCCGCCGCCGUGCUCGCCGGGGACCACUUCAAGAUCCACCUCAACGCGCUCGUCCCCGCCGCCGUCGAGCGCCUCGGCGACGGCAAGCAGCCCGUCCGCGAGGCCGCGCGCCAGCUCCUCGUCACGCUCAUGGAGGUUUCUUCACCAACAAUCAUUCUUGAAAGGGCCGGAAAUUAUGCAUGGACUCAUAAGAGUUGGAGGGUUCGGGAAGAGUUCGUACUUACAGUGGCAACUGCAGUUGGGCUUUUCGCUUCUACGGAGCUUCUCAUGCAAAGAGUUUUACUCUCACCCGUCUUGCAGUUGAUGAAUGAUUCGAACCAAAGUGUCAGAGAAGCUGCUAUAUCUUGUAUUGAGGAAAUGUACAAGAACAUGGGAUCUCAGUUCCACGAAGAGUUGCAGCGCCAUAAUCUGCCUACAUACAUGCUAAAAGAAAUAAAUUCAAGAUUGAAUAGAAUUGAACCGAAGGUUCCCGCAUCUGAUGGUACUGCAACACAGCAUAAAGUUGCAGCAUCUAGAUCCGUUAGUGUUAACCCCAAAAGAGGCAGCCCACGGACAAAAAGCACACCGAGGGAAAGCACAUUAUUUGGAGGUGACACUGAUAUAACUGAAAAACCAGUGGAACCAGUAAGAGUCCACUCAGAGAAAGAAUUACUACGGGAGUUUGAGAAGAUUGCAGCCACUCUUGUUCCAGAGAAGGACUGGUCAGUUCGUAUUGCUGCCAUGCAAAGGAUUGAAGCACUGGUUUAUGGAGGAGCUAUUGAUUACCCAUCGUUUCUGACACUCUUGAAGCAGCUGAUUCCUCCAUUGUCUACUCAGCUAGCUGAUCGACGGUCUACCAUUGUAAAACAGGCAUGCCAUUUACUUAAUGUGCUGUCCAAAGAACUCCUUGGUGACUUUGAGCCAUGUGCUGAACAAUUUAUUCCGAUGCUUUUUAAGCUUGUUGUCAUAACUGUGCUUGUCAUUGCUGAAUCUUCAGACACCUGCAUAAAAACUAUCCUGCGAAACUGCAAGGUUGCACGAAUUCUUCCUCGUGUAGCUGACACAGCCAAGAACGACCGAAGCGCAAUUCUCCGUGCUAGGUGCUGCGAAUACGCGCUUCUAAUAUUGGAAUAUUGGGCUGAUGCCCCGGAAAUACAACGAUCAGCUGAUUUAUAUGAAGAUCUAAUAAAGUGCUGUGUAGCAGAUGCUAUGAGUGAGGUCCGUUCAACUGCAAGAACUUGCUACAGAAUGUUCACGAAGACAUGGCCUGAGCGCUCUCGCCGUCUUUUUAUGCAAUUUGAUCCUGCUAUACAGAGGACAAUAAAUGAUGAGGAUGGUGUGCACAAACGUUAUGCUUCUCCCUCACUUCGUGAGAAGGUUCUGCAGCCUUCUCGCACUUCAUCUCAUGCAAGUGGCACUCAUAUGCCUGGAUAUGGCACUUCAGCUAUUGUUGCAAUGGACAAGAGUGCAGCUAUUUCUUCAGAUUCAUCUCUGCCAUCAAACCAUCUUCGUUUAUCACAGUCAAAGACGACCAGCAGAGUUUCUGAUAGAAGCCUAGAAAGUGUGCUCAGUUCAAGCAAAGAAAAGGUUUCUGCUAUUGAAAGUUUGCUGAAAGGUGUUAGCAUAUCAGAUAGGCAAAAUUUCUCAGUUGCACGCUCAACAAGCUUGGACCUUGGGGUUGAUGCUCCAUCAUCUCGCGAUCCUCCUGUUCCUCUUGCAGCACCAGCUUCAAAUCAUCUAUCUCUGCAGAACUCAGCAUUCUUGGAUUCAACCAUUCCUAGCAUCAAAAGUUCUAGUACACGAAAUGGAGGUUCCCGCGCAUUGGAUACAAUGACAACACAGUUGGCCACCAAAGAGCGAUCGAGGUCACCAUAUUUGAGUAAUCUAUCAUCCGAGUCCAUGACAGGCUUAUCACUGCCUUAUGUAAGAAGAUCUUCAGAGAGGCUUCAAGACGGAGGCCACAUGGAUGAGAGUAAUGAUCUGCGGUCAACCAGGCGGUUUCCUCAAAUGCACACAGAAAAAAACUAUGUUGAUAUGCCUUAUAGGGAUGCUGCUGCUCACAGAGAUUCACAUAAUAACAAUGUCCCGAAUUUCCAGAGACCUCUUCUAAGAAAGCAAGUAAUGUCAAGGCCUUCUGCAAGUAGCCGGGACAGGUUUGAUGAUAGUCAAGUACCUUCUAAUGAUGUAUCUAGAUAUACAGAUACUCUGGCUACUCUACACGAUGCACUUUCUGAGGGUCUCAAUCCUAGUUCUGACUGGGUAGCAAGAGUCUCUGCUUUUGAUUUUAUUCGGAAUGUAGUGCAACAAGGUCAGAGAGGUACUCAAGAAAUUAUUCAGAAUUUUGAAAAGGUCAUGAAGCUAUUUUUCCGCCAUCUGGAUGAUCCUCAUCAUAAGGUUGCACAAGCCGCUUUCUCUACGCUUGCAGAGAUUAUUCCUGCUUGCAAGAAGCCAUUUGAGAGUUAUGUCGAAAGAAUUUUGCCACAUGUCUUUUCCCGCCUUAUUGAUCCAAAAGAGUUGGUAAAAAAACCAUGUUCUUUGACUUUGGAGAUUGUUGGUCGAUUAUAUGCUAUCGAUAUGUUGCUACCUGCCCUAGUACGCUCACUAGAUGAACAGAGGUCGCCAAAGGCAAAGCUGGCUGUUAUUGAAUUUGCAAACAGAUCGUUCAGUAAGUACACGGUAGAUUCUGAAGGUUAUAGUAACAGCGGCUUCCUUAAGCUAUGGCUUUCAAAAUUGGCACCUUUAGUGAAUGAAAAGAAUGCAAAACUGAAGGAGGCAUCUAUUUCUGGUAUCAUAUCUGUGUAUUCUCAGUUUGACUCUACGGCAGUGUUAAAUUUUAUUUUAAGUUUAUCAGUUGAAGAGCAAAACCUAUUGAGGCGUGCCCUGAAGCAAAAAACACCUCGUAUUGAGGUUGAUCUGGUGAACUACUUGCAGAGCAAGAAAGAACGGCCACGCCCUAAAUCUUAUGACCAGGCAGAUUUUGGAACUUCUUCCGAAGAUGGUUAUGCACAGACAUUGAAGAAGAGCUAUCCUUUUGGGCGGUAUUCUUCUAGUUCCCUUGACGCUGAAGUGGGAAAGAGGACCACUACAGUGCAAGAACCAACAUUACAUAAUGUCUCUAUGGCCCGAACAACUUCAGAUAUGAGUGCCGGUACUAAUCAAAGCCUGGAACCGGCCUCAGGAACUGAAGUAUUUUUAAAUAGAAGUAGAGAAUCAAAGAAUAAUAUUAGCUCAGCUGUGGAAGAUAAUCGUUCUUGGACAAACUACCCUGAAAAAACCGAUGCCUCCUUAGAUGGUGAAACCGCUAUGAGCACUCCGCGCUUGGAUUUCAGCCAACUGCACAGCCCUGAUGGGCAUAAUGCUGUUGGUUCAACUACAGGAAAAGAUGUUCAAGAGACAGAUAUGGUUGUAAACCUUAGUUCUAUAAAGACCAGCAUCCAUGCUGACAACGGCUUGAGCAUACCACAACUUCUUCAUCAGAUAAGCACCGAUACAGAAAUAUCAAGUUUGGAAAAGCACGAAGCAUUACAACAGUUGAUUAAGGCUUCGCUUGGUAAUGACAGCUCCAUUUGGUCAAAGUAUUUCAAUCAAAUAUUAAUGACCGUACUUGACGUGCUGGGUGACUCCGAUCCAUCUACUAGGGAGAUUGCUUUGUCUUUAAUUGCUGAGAUGCUCAACAAUCAGAAAGACGCUAUGGAAGAAUCUAUUGAGAUUGUUCUUGAAAAACUUCUGCAUGUGACGAAAGAUGUGGUGGCAAAGAUUUCAAAUGAAGCGAACAGAUGCAUAAAUGUUUUGUUGGCAAAAUACGAUCCUUUCAGAUGUCUUGCUGUUGUAGUACCUCUUUUGGUCAGUGAUGAUGAAAAGAUGCUCGUUGUGUGUAUCAACUGUUUGACAAAGCUUGUCGCGCACCUUCCCCAAGAGGAAUUGAUGGAUCAGCUGCCUACAUUUUUGCCAGCACUGUUUGAUGCUUUUAGUAACCAAAGUCCAGAUGUUCGAAAGAGUGUUGUAUUCUGCUUGGUGGACAUCUACAUCAUGCUGGGGAAAGCGUUUGUGCCGUACCUGGAAGGGCUGAGCAGCACACAGCUGCGCUUGGUGACCAUCUACGCGAACCGGAUUUCGCAGGCAAGGUCCGGCACGGCGAUUGACAGCGCUAACCAAUGA
rnacentral:rRNA from 1 species